CAAUAGCGUAUAUUAAAGUUGUUGCGGUAAAAAAGCUCGUAGUUGGAUUUCUACCGAAGAUAGCCGGUCGGGUCUUCGACCUUGUAUCUGGUUUUGUCUUUGGUAUCCUCAUAGGGAACGUUUCUGCGCUUUAUUGCGUGGUGCGGUAUCUAUGACUUUUACUUUGAGGAAAUUAGAGUGUUCACGGCAGGCAAACGCCUUGAAUACAUUAGCAUGGAAUAAUAACAUAGGAUCUUCGUCCUAUUUUGUUGGUUUCUAGGGCUAAGAUAAUGAUUAAUAGGGAUAAUUGGGGGCAUCUGUAUCAACGCGUCAGAGGUGGAAUUCUUGGAUUGCGUUGCGACAAACUACUGCGAAAGCAUUUGCCAAGGAUGUUUUCAUUGA
rnacentral:rRNA from 1 species